rnacentral:lncRNA from 1 species
UUUUAGCUCAUUAAUGUAUUUCUUCAUAUCAGAAUAAAAUAAAAGCAUAUUCAGCUCUGAUGCCCUCUCCAAGCAAACACUCACUUGAAGGUGAUGAUGUUGCAAAAGUACUUGGUCUAGAACGUCCAGGACGAGUAAGAGGUCUUGGUUUCGGUGCGACUCCUUCAAAGUUGAAUGCUUUGGUGUACAAUCAUAACUUGCAAACUCAAGUUCAAGAGUUGAGGAACGAAAUUAAAGAAUUAAAAGCUCUGUUUCAAGUGAAGGGUAAAAGUACUGAACAAGAAGAUAAUGUAAGUGGAAAUCUAGAAUCAAUGAAUGUUAUUUUACAUUACAUAUAUUUUCUAUAUUCAAAAUAAUAAAUUGUACAAGUGGAUAUUAAUUUUACAGUCUAGAGGCAGAAGAUUGAAUGAUUUAGAUAACCUUCAAAAUAAGAAGUGCAAAUUGUUAUCUUGGUUUGAGAAAGCUGAUAUUGUUGCAAAAUGUGAAAUUGCAUCAAUAAAUCCAAAUGAUCUAGUGCAUCAUGUACCCCUUGGUAAUGAAUGUUGGAGAGUUUGGGUUAAUGAAGUGAUCGAUAAUGUUAGCUUAUAUCAUCCCACGCGUGAGCUUUUUCUUCUGGAAGAUGUAUUAGGAAGUACAAUUGCAUGGCCAAGUAGGUAUAUCGAAGUGGAUUCCCUGUAAUCACAACGAAGAUAUGCUUAAUUUCUUUUUUAUUUUAAUUCCAUUUACCUUUAUGUUCGGUCUCUAUUGAAGAUUGUGUUGUUUAAUAUAUUUUUGAUUUGGAUGCUUAUUAAUUAUAUCCUUAUUAUUUUCGUGGUGUGCAGGGGAUCCAUAUUUCGUGGAGUAGCUAAAUUGUCAGUCAAAGAAGUGAACUUUGAUAGGUUUAAUAAUUUUUUGUUAUAUGACGGAACCUCAAUAUCCACGGGCUUAUUAGUUGAAUGGCGAUUGGCGCAUACAACAGUAGUCGAAUAUUUUUGAGAAUUGUUUAGAUGAAUUUUACAUUGGCAUAUUUUAUUGAACCGUAG